CCCUUAGAUGUCCUGGGCCGCACGCGCGCUACACUGAGUGUCUGAGGUACGAGUCUGCCUGGUCCGGCAAGGUCUAGGUAAUCGCUAAAAGACACAUCAUGCUUGGGAUAGAUUAUUGCAAAUAUUAAUCUUGAACGAGGAAUUCCUAGUAAGCGCAAGUCAACAGCUUGCGUUGAUUACGUCCCUGCCCUUUGUACACACCGCCCGUCGCUACUACUGAUUGGAUGUUUAAGCGAGGUUCUCGAACUGCUAGCGACUUAGCUUCGGUGAGGUCGCAGUGUGGGAAGUGAGCCUAGCUUUGGUGUCUAGAGGAAGUAAAAGUCGUAACA
rnacentral:rRNA from 1 species